rnacentral:rRNA from 1 species
UAAGGAGACUGCCGGUGACAAACCGGAGGAAGGUGGGGAUGACGUCAAGUCCUCAUGGCCCUUAUGSGCAGGGCUUCACACGUCAUACAAUGGUCGGUACAGAGGGUCGCCAACCCGCGAGGGGGAGCUAAUCCCAUAAAGCCAGUCGUAGUCCGGAUCGCAGUCUGCAACUCGACUGCGUGAAGUCGGAAUCGCUAGUAAUCGCGGAUCAGAAUGUCGCGGUGAAUACGUUCCCGSGUCUUGUACACACCGCCCGUCACACCAUGGGAGCGGGUUCUGCCAGAAGUAGUUAGCCUAACCGCAAGGAGGGCGAUUACCACGGCAGGU